rnacentral:lncRNA from 1 species
UUGGGUCUGGGAGGAAGGAGGUCAUUUGCUGCUUUACCUGUGCCGAGCCCAAGCAGAGAGGGGCGAGAUGGACAUGUGCCUUUUCCUGGAUCCUUUGCCACUUGGCAGCCUGCAGGCAGCUGUGCAAAACAGCAAGGAGCUUUCUUGUUUGGUGCCAGUGUCAGAGAGCUUGGAAUUCUGUUUUCAUUUUCCCUUUUUUUCUCAUUUCUUCCUUCCCACCCUCAAGUGCUCUGUUUUGCUCACUUCUCCCUCUACUCUCCCUUAUCUCCAUGACACCUUUCUGAGCCUCACCUUUCAAGUUAGGGACUCUUCUGAUGCCUGUCCCCCCAUCCCCACCCUCUCCAAUUCCCCCAUCCCCACCCUCCCCAAACCCCCCAUCCCCACCCCUACAUUUCACCCAGAGAUCAAAAAGCAAAACUUCCCACUCUGACGGGGGUUUGCACCCAGGUAGAAGAUUGAAUCCUCCUGUGCAAAUGGGAAGAGGUGGGUAACGAGAUUAAGUCAUCUCCCUCACUCAAGGAUAUGUGCCACUGACCCUUUGCUCUGAGGCACCACGAACCUGAGUAUCUGGGGCCUUCACAAACGCCCAGGUGGGUGGGCCACUGCCUACAGGUAAUUGAAGGGGAAUGAGGGAACUGGGCCAGCAUCCCUGCUGGGACCAGCAGUGAGUCAGACCCCUUCCCCACACUCCAGACCUACCAAAUCCAGCCAAAGAGCCUUUACCUCAGGGGUUCCCCAGGUGAGGGAGGAGUGUCGCUGGACCCUCAAGUCUAUGAAAGACCUCAGAAAAUGCAGCUCUCUGUCCCUACGGGGACACCCAAAGGAUAGAGGUUGUUAAGUAGGGACGGCUCAAGUUGCAAGGGCUGGGCACUGGGCCAGGGCGCCCACGGACUUUGACUAUACCCACUGUGUGCAGAGCGUCUCAUAGGUCACAAAGAUGGGUAGAUCUCUGCCCUUCCUCUGAAUGGGAUGUUGUGAGAUCAACCAGUUGGAUGGUUGCCUGGAGAAUAAAGCUGAAAGCCUGUUACAAAUGCAAGGCAAUAGCGGUGGGGAUAGACCCCUGGCUUCCAGCACCGCGCUCUUUACCUGACCCAGACGGGACAAGUCUGGGAAGACAGUCUGCAUCA